AGGAGCCGUAUGAGGUGGGAAUCUCAUGUACGGUUUUGAAGUGGAGAUCAUUGAAAUGGAAUGAACACCGUAACGGAUGUCAGCUCAAUCGGAAGGGCAAUAUGCAGAAGCUUUACAAAAUUAUUAUGAAGCUUUACAAUAACAAGAUGAUCAUCCUUGGCCAUCAACCCUGAU
rfam:Picea glauca, whole genome shotgun sequence.